AACGAACGCUGGCGGCAUGCCUAACACAUGCAAGUCGAACGAAGCCUUCGGGCUUAGUGGCGCACGGGUGCGUAACGCGUGGGAAUCUGCCCUUGGGUACGGAACAACAGUUAGAAAUGACUGCUAAUACCGUAUGAUGUCUUCGGACCAAAGAUUUAUCGCCCAGGGAUGAGCCCGCGUAGGAUUAGGUAGUUGGUGGGGUAAAGGCCCACCAAGCCGACGAUCCUUAGCUGGUCUGAGAGGAUGAUCAGCCACACUGGGACUGAGACACGGCCCAGACUCCUACGGGAGGCAGCAGUGGGGAAUAUUGGACAAUGGGCGAAAGCCUGAUCCAGCAAUGCCGCGUGAGUGAUGAAGGCCUUAGGGUUGUAAAGCUCUUUUACCCGGGAAGAUAAUGACUGUACCGGGAGAAUAAGCCCCGGCUAACUCCGUGCCAGCCGCCGCUGUAA
rnacentral:rRNA from 1 species